rnacentral:tRNA from 1 species
GCCUGGGUGGCUCAGUCGGUUAAGCGUCCGACUUCUGCUCAGGUCAUGAUCUCGCGGUCUGUGGGUUCGAGCCCCACGUCGGGCU